UACAGAGGGGGCAAGCGUUGUUCGGAAUUACUGGGCGUAAAGGGCGCGUAGGCGGCCUUCUAAGUCGAACGUGAAAUCCCCGGGCUCAACCCGGGAACUGCGUCCGAUACUGGAAGGCUUGAAUCCGGGAGAGGGAUGUGGAAUUCCAGGUGUAGCGGUGAAAUGCGUAGAUAUCUGGAGGAAUACCGGUGGCGAAGGCGGCAUCCUGGACCGACAUUGACGCUGAUGAGCGAAAGCGUGGGGAGCA
rnacentral:rRNA from 1 species